rnacentral:rRNA from 1 species
CCCUUAGAUGUUCUGGGCAGCACGCGCGCUACAAUGGUCUUCGCAAACGGAUGCAUUCUCGAAGGAGAAUGCCAAUCUUGGAAUCUAUGCCUUGGUCGGGACAGUUGCUUGCAAUUUUUCGACUCGAACCAGGAAUUCCUUGUAAUCGUGAUUCAUCACAUCACGAUGAAUACGUCCCUGCCCUUUGUACACUCCGCCCGUCGCUCCUACCGAUCGAAGAGUUAGGUGAAUUGUUUUGAUCGAUAAGAUUUGACUAUGGUCAACUCUCGUUGUGAAAUUCUGUGAAUCUGACUGUUUAGAGGAAGGAAAAGUCGUAACA